rnacentral:rRNA from 1 species
ACGAACGCUGGCGGCGUGCCUAAUACAUGCAAGUUGAGCGCUGAAGGUUGGUACUUGUACCGACUGGAUGAGCAGCGAACGGGUGAGUAACGCGUGGGGAAUCUGCCUUUGAGCGGGGGACAACAUUUGGAAACGAAUGCUAAUACCGCAUAAAAACUUUAAACACAAGUUUUAAGUUUGAAAGAUGCAAUUGCAUCACUCAAAGAUGAUCCCGCGUUGUAUUAGCUAGUUGGUGAGGUAAAGGCUCACCAAGGCGAUGAUACAUAGCCGACCUGAGAGGGUGAUCGGCCACAUCGGGACUGAGACACGGCCCAAACUCCUACGGGAGGCAGCAGUAGGGAAUCUUCGGCAUUGGACGAAAGUCUGACCGAGCAACGCCGCGUGAGUGAAGAAGGUUUUCGGAUCGUAAAACUCUGUUGGUAGAGAAGAACGUUGGUGAGAGUGGAAAGCUCAUCAAGUGACGGUAACUACCCAGAAAGGGACGGCUAACUACGUG